rnacentral:rRNA from 1 species
UACGUAGGGUGCAAGCGUUUAAUCGGAAUUACUGGGCGUAAAGCGUGCGCAGGCGGUUGUGCAAGACAGAUGUGAAAUCCCCGGGCUCAACCUGGGAAUUGCGAUGGAGACUGCAAGGCUAGAAUCUGGCAGAGGGGGGUAGAAUUCCACGUGUAGCAGUGAAAUGCGUAGAGAUGUGGAGGAACACCGAUGGCGAAGGCAGCCCCCUGGGUCAAGACUGGACGCUCAUGCACGAAAGCGUGGGGAGCAAACAGG